GCGGUCUGAAACGAAGAGAGAAGCCUCAAGAUGACACAGCCACAGUAACGUCACUGCCUGCCUCGGCAGUAAUAAACAUCUACCCCCGCCGGAAUAAUUUGGCAGCACAGAGGCAAAACUAUUUCAGAGAAGCAGAGGUCGGACAACGGUUUCUGAAGUGGCUGGCAGGAGAUCGGUUUAGAAUCAUCUCCCUCACCUCUCAUCAGGCAUGUCCCCCUCCCUGGGAGGCUCUCUAAAUCAACAGGGCCAGGACACAGAUUUAGAACCUGGCACCCUUAAACAUUUUAGAACCACCAGUCCAAUGUAAACAGAAUCAGGGCGUUGGAAUUCUCAAUUAUCUACAGAAUUACUGACUUCUACAUCCAGAUGACAGGCUGAGCCCCAAGGAUCUACUCUUGACAACCGACUCUAAUACACAAGACAAGUGAGCCAAGCAAGAUCCUCAGGGGCUGUCGAAAUGAAAUAGCACAUAAUUGCCAAGUCAGGCGGAAGUCUCACCUGUGGCCGUCAGCCAUGGAAUCACCUGGCAAUUCUAUUUCCUGACUGCAACAGCAGAGAUACUACCAAAGGCCCUUCCCUCUCCCUGUGCCCACUUCACAAGAGAUGACUAGCUGUUGUGUGUAUAAAAUCAGAAAGCAGAUGAAAGACUGCCCUAACAUUAUCUUGAAUUCAUGGCUGCUUUAAGGAAAAAUAUUACCUACUCUCUUUUUGAAAAAUGCUUGUGAAAUUUAAAGUAUCUAGUUUCGUUCUUCUUUUUUGUAAUUGUUCUUUUUUACCCACUUCUCCUCUAGGAAAGAAUAAAUGGAACAUUUUAGCCUCAGCAGAAAAAAAAAUGCUCUGAGUUAUCAGAAAGAAUGAACUUUCUGUUUGUUGUUGUUUAAACAAACAACAAAAUCCAUCCAUGGAAGAGACAACUUCGCUUGGGAACGGACGUGUAACUACAGGGUAGGACACUUCCUCCUGAGACAGAAGGACCCACCCACAGUUGGCAAUGAUGACAGAGCUCCAUCACAGCCUCUGGCAACCAUUAGGGAGGCUUGGGAAGAUCCCAAGCAGAAGAGGAGAGGUGUUUCAGAGUCCAAGGAACUGUCCUGCCCUCUCAUCUCAGAAAACCCAUUUUCAACCCUUACACAAACAUCCAUCCAUCCACAUCACCCAACCAUCCCAUCACAGACAGAAGAGGAAAAGACGUGGAUACACUCAGAAAAGAAGGUAUGUGAAGAUAGAGGCAGAGGUUGGAGUGAUGCAGUCACCAGCAAAGGAACAUGUGGAGUCACCAAACCUAGAAGAGGCAAGGAAGGAUUCUCCCCUAGCGCCUUCAGAGGGGACAUGACCGCCCACACCUUGAUUUCAGGCUUCAGGCUUCUAGAAAUGUAAACCAAAUGAAGAAAUAAAUUUCUUUGGCCAAGAGGUAACAUUGACACAAGCAGGAGAGAGGGAUAAAAGGAAAAGACACACCUCUUCCUGGUGGCCCUGCCACUGCCUUGUCUGCCUUACCACAACCAUGCUCUUUUCCAUCUCUAUCAUGUGAGAAGCUUCCUACCAAGAACAGUAGUAUAAAACCUACUGGAGAAGCUUAUUUCCAAAUUCUUAACUAUCAAAUACCCAGCAAAAAAAAAAAAGUGAAAAACACACAUGUACAGUUUAAUAAAGAGCAUAACCACCUCUCACCUCUGGAUCAGGAAAGAAUUCUCUUACAUUCGUGUCUCUUAAAACCCUCUUAUGAUAUGUAAACAACAGCCUAGAGCUGAGUUUCUGGAAACUAUCUGACAUAUUUGUGCUCAAAAAGGGAGAAAGUGGAAACAAAGAUCCUCAAGGAUGUUCUGGCUCUAAAUUCUGUGUUAGAAGUAUUCGGGAGAAGGAUGGGAGUAACCCAGACAAGUCUCAGGACUACUGGUCACAAGGCUGGGUUUUCAGAGCAGAAAGAAAAUACAUAUUCUCUUCAUAGCUCCUUCUACCCCCAUUCAAUUCUUGUGCUCACACAAAGGCAUCAAAGGUCCCUCCUGCCCAAACCACCCCUGUAAUACACACCACUCUUCCUCCCAGAUAUGUAAAUAUGCAGUAUUUAACAUAUAAAAUCACAAUGUGUACGCCAGAGUGUUUUCCUCUGGCACCCUCCUACCCUUCCCCACGCUGCAGAAGCUCACACAGAAAAGGACCACUUACUUAGCCCCUUCACUUACCUCUGG